rnacentral:rRNA from 1 species
UACGGGGGGGGCAAGCGUUGUUCGGAAUUACUGGGCGUAAAGGGCUCGUAGGCGGCCAACUAAGUCAGACGUGAAAUCCCUCGGCUUAACCGGGGAACUGCGUCUGAUACUGGAUGGCUUGAGUUUGGGAGAGGGAUGCGGAAUUCCAGGUGUAGCGGUGAAAUGCGUAGAUAUCUGGAGGAACACCGGUGGCGAAGGCGGCAUCCUGGACCAACACUGACGCUGAAAAGCGAAAGCCAGGGGAGCAAACGGG